rnacentral:rRNA from 1 species
UACGUAGGGUGCAAGCGUUAAUCGGAAUUACUGGGCGUAAAGCGUGCGCAGGCGGUUUUGUAAGUCUGUCGUGAAAUCCCCGGGCUUAACCUGGGAAUGGCGUUGGAGACUGCAAGGCUAGAGUUUGGCAGAGGGGGGUAGAAUUCCACGUGUAGCAGUGAAAUGCGUAGAGAUGUGGAGGAACACCGAUGGCGAAGGCAGCCCCCUGGGUCAAAACUGACGCUCAUGCACGAAAGCGUGGGGAGCAAACAGG